rnacentral:rRNA from 1 species
UACGUAGGGGGCAAGCGUUGUCCGGAAUCAUUGGGCGUAAAGAGCGCGUAGGCGGCCCUGUAAGUCCGCUGUGAAAGUCAAGGGCUCAACCCUUGGAUGCCGGUGGAUACUGCAGGGCUAGAGUCCGGAAGAGGCGAGUGGAAUUCCUGGUGUAGCGGUGAAAUGCGCAGAUAUCAGGAGGAACACCGAUGGCGAAGGCAGCUCGCUGGGACGGUACUGACGCUGAGGCGCGAAAGCGUGGGGAGUCAAACAGG